rnacentral:rRNA from 1 species
UCGAACGGCAGCGCGGACUUCGGUCUGGCGGCGAGUGGCGAACGGGUGAGUAAUAUAUCGGAACGUACCCAGUAGCGGGGGAUAACUACUCGAAAGAGUAGCUAAUACCGCAUACGCCCUACGGGGGAAAGGGGGGGAUCGCAAGACCUCUCACUAUUGGAGCGGCCGAUAUCGGAUUAGCUAGUUGGUGGGGUAAAGGCCUACCAAGGCGACGAUCCGUAGCUGGUUUGAGAGGACGACCAGCCACACUGGGACUGAGACACGGCCCAGACUCCUACGGGAGGCAGCAGUGGGGAAUUUUGGACAAUGGGGGCAACCCUGAUCCAGCCAUCCCGCGUGUGCGAUGAAGGCCUUCGGGUUGUAAAGCACUUUUGGCAGGAAAGAAAUCGCACGGGUUAAUACCUUGUGUGGAUG